UACAGAGGGUGCGAGCGUUAAUCGGAGUUACUGGGCGUAAAGGGCGCGUAGGCGGUUAUAUAAGUGAGAUGUGAAAUCCCUGGGCUUAACCUAGGAACUGCAUCUUAUACUGUAUGACUGGAGUAUUGUAGAGGGUAGUGGAAUUUCCGGUGUAGCGGUGAAAUGCGUAGAGAUCGGAAGGAACACCAGUGGCGAAGGCGGCUACCUGGACAAAUACUGACGCUGAGGCGCGAGAGCGUGGGGGAGCAAACAGG
rnacentral:rRNA from 1 species